CCUACGGGGGGCAGCAGUGGGGAAUAUUGCACAAUGGGCGCAAGCCUGAUGCAGCCAUGCCGCGUGUGAAGAAGGCCUUAGGGUUGUAAAGCACUUUCAGCGAGGAGGAAGGCAUCAUACUUAAUACGUGUGGUGAUUGACGUUACUCGCAGAAGAAGCACCGGCUAACUCCGUGCCAGCAGCCGCGGUACUACGGAGGGUGCAAGCGUUAAUCGGAAUUACUGGGCGUAAAGCGCACGCAGGCGGGUUGUUGAGGCAGAUGUGAAAUCCCCGGGCUUAACUUUGGAACUGCAUUUGAAACUUGCAAGCUAGGGGCGUGGAGAGGGGGGUAGAAUUCCAGGUGUAGCGGUGAAAUGCGUAGAGAUCUGGAGGAAUACCGGUGGCGAAGGCGGCCCCCUGGACAAAGACUGACGCUCAGGUGCGAAAGCGUGGGGAGCAAACAGGAUUAGAUACCCUAGUAGUC
rnacentral:rRNA from 1 species